rnacentral:rRNA from 1 species
UACGAAGGGGGCUAGCGUUGCUCGGAAUCACUGGGCGUAAAGCGCACGUAGGCGGCUUUCUAAGUCAGGGGUGAAAUCCUGGAGCUCAACUCCAGAACUGCCUUUGAUACUGGAAAGCUUGAGUUCGGGAGAGGUGAGUGGAACUGCGAGUGUAGAGGUGAAAUUCGUAGAUAUUCGCAAGAACACCAGUGGCGAAGGCGGCUAACUGGUCCAGAUCUGACGCUGAGGUGCGAAAGCGUGGGGAGCAAACAGGG